UCCCGGUGUUACACGCCAUAGUGUCCUCCCCCGCCUAAAUGUCCUCCCCCCCGUCGGGUCCCCGGUGUCGGAGCGAACAUAAACAAACAAAGGCCAGCUGAUAGCAGUCUCACGCCAGAGUGUCCACCACAACAAUGGCUUCGGAUCUCCGCGACAGGAUUUUCCAUUUUAAUGAGAAUUUAGUCCCGCUUAAGCAACUAAUUCUUAACAACCAGUAUCCACCAGGCUUGACUGGAAAUCAAAGGAGAAUUUUGAGAAGACAGAGGGAACAUCACAUGAUAAAAGAGAACCAGCUGUAUCGCAAGAGAAGAAACAAAUGGGUUCAGAUUCCUUCAACACUGGGAGAAGUGAUGGAUAUUCUGCUUUUUAUCAUGUCACAAGUGGCUGUCAUGUUGGUAUUGAUAAAACCAAGUCCAGGAUUUCUGACCAUUAUUACUGGCUUGGUAUGUCAAGGGACGUCAUUGCAUAUAUAUCAACUUGUACAACUUGCCAGACUUUUGAGGUUGUAAAGACACAAGCUCCCACACUUAAACAAAUUAAGGUGUCUCAACCCAUGGAAGUCGUAGGCAUGGAUCUUAUUGGAAAAGCUAAGGUAGUGUUGCAAGCAGGCAGUGACAAAUACAGUUCGGCGACAUGACAUGCUCAUCUUGUCCAGGACCUCAUCCAGUAUAAUGAAGGGCAAUCAGUUUCUAGUUUAUUAGAAUGCAUAUGAGAUUUUAAGAUGCAUGAUGAACCCUUGCAUGUUUUAUGGUGUCUUAAAAGUUUUAGGUGAACAUCGUGAAAUAUAUUAUAUUUUACCUGUAAAAAUGUAACUCAUUUAUUUACUUUGCUAAGGUUUCACAUCAGGAAGUAUGGUCCCUCUUCUUACUGUUUCUUAUUAUUGUGUGUACAUAAACACAUUACUUUCUCACACUUAUGUUGGCUAAUAGUUCACUCUAUGAUGGCAUGUUCCCCUGCAAUGACCUCUGUAUCACAUUUACUGCUUUCUCUUACUUAUUUUUGUUAUGUGGUUGCCACUAGCAUUAGGGCCCCCAGUUACUGUUAUUAGGUUAUAAGAAAUAGCAGCUGCACUUAAUUAGCCUAACUGUUACCUUUUUCUGACAAAUUAAAACCUAAAGGGUGGGAAUGUACAGUGAAAGCCAUAAAUCCUCGCACAAACUUCAAAAUUAUGGCGGAAAAAGUCGGACCAGAAAACCCUGUCACCCGCCCUUUAGGGUUUAACCUCCCCUGCUUCAUGCCCUGGCCAGUAAUCCUCACAUCCCCUGCACUUAGGAGUUUGGUUCAGUAGGUUUUGUAUGCCUUAUUUAUAUUACUAUAAAAUCUUACCAUCCUCACACCAGAUAAGAUAAUGGUUUUUUGCAUGUGGAAUUUUGUAUCUUAAGAGAUCUUACAAAUGACAGAGUGUUGCUCUGCGAUGGAUUUCUCAAUUGACUUCAUUGAUUUAGAAAUGAUGAGUUAAGGGAUGAUGAUAGAAGAUACUUUGAUGCAGUAAAUACUGUUACAUUUACAAUUGCCACAAUUUAAUUUUCCACAAUAUUUUGAAACAAAACAACUUAGCAUUCAGUGUUCCAUUGUAAUGACACCUUUAUUAUCUGUUUUCUGCCACCACAUAGUAAGUCAUUACAGUGCUGCUCCUCAUGUUUUUCAGCUAAAUGAUAUCCAUCGUGGGGAGGAAAUAUGCCACUACAUGUAUACUGAUAUAUUUUCACUGUA